UGAAUACGAGACGCUACGGCGUCGAAGCAGUCUAUGUCAUACUUCCAAGAAAAGCUUGCACUGUCAUAAACAAAUAAUGCCUGUACCAUAACCGACACAGGUGGGUAGGUAGAGUAUACUAAGGGGCGCGAGAUAACUCUCUCUAAGGAACUCGGCAAAAUGACUCCGUAACUUCGGGAGAAGGAGUGCCUUAUUUAUAAGGUUGCAAUAACAAGAUCCAAGCAACUGUUUAUCAAAAACACAGGUCUCCGCUAAGUCGUAAGACGAUGUAUGGGGGCUGACGCCUGCCCAGUGCCAGAAGGUUAAAGAAGUUGGUUAGCAUUAGCGAAGCUGAUAACUGAAGCCCUGGUGAACGGCGGCCGUAACUAUAACGGUCCUAAGGUAGCGAAAUUCCUUGUCGGGUAAGUUCCGACCCGCACGAAAGGCGUAAUGAUUUGGAUACUGUCUCAGAGAGGGGCUCGGUGAAAUAGACUUGUCUGUGAAGAUGCGGACUACCUGCACCAGGACAGAAAGACCCUAUGAAGCUUUACUGUAACUUGAAAUUGAAAUUGGACUUUAUUUGCGCAGUAUAGGUGGGAGGCAUUGAUAAUAUUCUUGCGGGAAUGUUGGAGCCAUCAGUGAGAUACCACUCUUGUAAUGUUAGAUUUCUAACUUUGGAUCAUUAUCUGGUCAAAGGACAGUUUCAGGCGGGCAGUUUGACUGGGGCGGUCGCCUCCUAAAUGGUAACGGAGGCGCACAAAGGUUUCCUCUGAACGGGUAGAAAUCGUAUCUAGAGUGUAAAGGCAUAAGGAAGCUUGACUGUGAGACCUACAAGUCGAGCAGGGACGAAAGUCGGUCUUAGUGAUCUGACGGUGCUGAGUGGAAAGGCCGUCACUCAACGGAUAAAAGUUACUCUAGGAUAACAGGCUGAUCUCCCCCAAGAGUUCACAUCGACGGGGAGGUUUGGCACCUUGAUGUCGGCUCAUCGCAUCCUGGGGCGGUAGUACGUCCCAAGGGUUGGGCUGUUCGCCCAUGAAAGCGGUACGCGAGCUGGGUUCAGAACGUCGUGAGACAGUUCGGUCCAUAUCCGGUGUAGGCGUUAGAGUAUUGAGAGGAGCCUUCUUUAGUACGAGAGGACCGAGAAGGACAUACCUCUGGUGUACCAGUUAUCGUGCCAACGGUAAACGCUGGGUAGCUAUGUAUGGAGAGGAUAACCGCUGAAAGCAUCUAAGUGGGAAGCCCACCUCAAGAUAAG
rnacentral:rRNA from 1 species